rnacentral:rRNA from 1 species
GGGUGCGAUCAUACCAACGUUAAUGCACCAGAUCCCAUCAGAACUCCGCAGUUAAGCGCGCUUGGGCUAGAGCAGUACUGGGAUGGGUGACCUCCCAGGAAGUCCUUUUGUUGCACCCU